rnacentral:rRNA from 1 species
UACGGAGGGUGCAAGCGUUGUCCGGAUUUAUUGGGUUUAAAGGGUGCGUAGGCGGGUUGGUAAGUCCGUGGUGAAAUCCCCAAGCUUAACUUGGGAACUGCCGUGGAUACUAUCAAUCUUGAAUAUCGUGGAGGUAAGCGGAAUAUGUCAUGUAGCGGUGAAAUGCUUAGAUAUGACAUAGAACACCAAUUGCGUAGGCAGCUUACUACACGAUCAUUGACGCUGAGGCACGAAAGCGUGGGGAGCAAACAGG